rnacentral:rRNA from 1 species
AUUGAACGCUGGCGGCAGGCCUAACACAUGCAAGUCGAGCGGAUGAGUGGAGCUUGCUCCAUGAUUCAGCGGCGGACGGGUGAGUAAUGCCUAGGAAUCUGCCUGGCAGUGGGGGACAACGUUUCGAAAGGAACGCUAAUACCGCAUACGUCCUACGGGAGAAAGCAGGGGACAUUCGGGCCUUGCGCUAUCAGAUGAGCCUAGGUCGGAUUAGCUAGUAGGUGAGGUAAUAGCUCACCUAGGCGACGAUCCGUAACUGGUCUGAGAGGAUGAUCAGUCACACUGGAACUGAGACACGGUACAGAAUCCUACGGGAGGCAGCAGUGGGGAAUAUUGGACAAUGGGCGAAAGGCUGAUCCAGCCACGCCGCGUGUGUGAAGAAGGUCUUCGGAUUAUAAAGCGCUUUAAGUUGGGAGGAAGGGCAGUAAGUUAAUACCUUGCUGUUUUGACGUUACCAACAGAAUAAGCACCGUCUAACUUCGUGCUAGCAGCCGCAGUAAAAC